CCGGAUACCUAUCACAGGAGGAAUUUGAUUUCCUAUUUGAAAUACAUCCAAGAUGUCCCAUACUAUACACUCUCCCAAAGGUUCAUAAAAAUCCUGUACAAUCUCCUGGUCGUCCCAUUGUGUCUCCAUAGAAGGGUUAUUAGAACCCAUUGGCAAAUGGUUGGAUAAUAUAUUCAAAAAACCAGUGAUGAAGUUACCAACAUGUGUUAAAGACACCUCAGCAGUGAUUAAGGAACUGCAACGCAUUGCAGUACCACAGGAAGGGAUCCUCCUAGCCACCAUUGAUGUCAGUAGCCUAUAUACUAUAAUCCCUCACAAGGAAGGUAUACAAGCAAUGAGGGAAGUAUUGUUAUAAUACAGUGAAAAAGUCUCU